rnacentral:misc_RNA from 1 species
AGCAGCCGCGGUAAUUCCAGCUCCAAUAGCGUAUAUUAAAGUUGUUGCAGUUAAAAGCUCGUAGUUGAAUUUCGGGGUUAGCAAGUUGGUCGUGCCACUGGUAUGUACUGGCUUUGCUGAUUCCUCCUUCUUGUAGAACCGUAAUGCCAUUUAGUUGGUGUUGCGGGGAAACAGGACUGUUACUUUGAAAAAUUGAGUGUUUAAGGCAGGCUAACGCCUGAAUACAUUAGCAUGGAAUAAUGAAAUAGGACGAGCGAUCCUAUUUUGUUGGUUUCUAGGAUUGACGUAAUGAUUAAUAGGGAUAGUUGGGGGCAUUAGUAUUCAAUUGUCAGAGGUGAAAUUCUUGGAUUUAUUGAAGACUGACUACUGCGAAAGCAUUUGCCAAGGAUGUUUUCAUUAAUCAAGAACGAAAGUUAGGGAUCGAAGACGAUCAGAUACCGUCGUAGUCUUAACCAUAAACUAUGCCG